rnacentral:rRNA from 1 species
UGGCAAGUCGAACGAGCUGCUUUGAUGAAUUUUCGGAUGGAUUUAAACAGCUUAGUGGCGACGGGUGAGUAACGCGUGGGUAACCUGCCUCACACUGGGGGAUAACAGUUAGAAAUAGCUGCUAAUACCGCAUAAGCGCACGGUUCCGCAUGAAGCGGUGUGAAAAACUCCGGUGGUAUGAGAUGGACCCGCGUCUGAUUAGCUAGUUGGUGGGGUAACGGCCUACCAAGGCGACGAUCAGUAGCCGACCUGAGAGGGUGAUCGGCCACAUUGGGACUGAGACACGGCCCAAACUCCUACGGGAGGCAGCAGUGAGGAAUAUUGGUCAAUGGACGAGAGUCUGAACCAGCCAAGUAGCGUGCAGGAUGACGGCCCUAUGGGUUGUAAACUGCUUUUAUAAGGGAAUAAAGUGGGAGUCGUGACUCUUUUUGCAUGUACCUUAUGAAUAAGGACCGGCUAAUUCCGUG